GACUUAUUGAAGCUUAGUCCAUUGUAAGACAUCAAGCCACAAUUUUUUGUAGUUUCCUAAGGAAUGCUUGAGCACAAUGUUGGUGGGUUUCGAUUUGACCAGAGAGAGGUAGUUCAUAGUUGCAAGAUUGAUCCUUGUGUUCAGAGAGUUUUAUCAGCAAGACGAGCUUUGAGAGCGUUGAGGGCAGUGGUGAGGCUGCAGGCUAUAUUUCGCGGAAGGCUAGCGAGGAAGCAAGCUGCUGUUACUCUAAGGUGCAUGUAGGCUCUUGUUCGAGUUCAAGCUCGCGUCC